UACAGAGGUCCCGAGCGUUGUUCGGAUUCACUGGGCGUAAAGGGUGCGCAGGUGGCUUGGCAAGUCGGAUGUGAAAGCUCCGGGCUUAACCCGGAAAUGGCAUUGGAAACUGCUUGGCUGGAGGGUUGGAGGGGGGACUGGAAUUCUCGGUGUAGCAGUGAAAUGCGUAGAGAUCGAGAGGAACACCAGUGGCGAAGGCGAGUCCCUGGACAACACCUGACACUGAGGCACGAAAGCCGGGGGAGCAAACAGG
rnacentral:rRNA from 1 species